UACGUAGGGGGCAAGCGUUGUCCGGAAUUAUUGGGCGUAAAGGGCGCGUAGGCGGGUUUCCAAGUCGGGGGUGAAAUUCCAGGGCUCAACCCUGGGACGGCCUUCGAUACUGGGAGCCUGGAGAUCGGGAGAGGUGAGUGGAAUUCCGAGUGUAGAGGUGAAAUUCGUAGAUAUUCGGAGGAACACCAGAAGCGAAGGCGGCUCACUGGCCCGAGACUGACGCUGAGGCGCGAAAGCGUGGGGAGCAAACAGG
rnacentral:rRNA from 1 species